rnacentral:rRNA from 1 species
AAUUGCUAGUAAUGGCAGGUCAGCAUACUGCCGUGAAUACGUUCCCGGGCCUUGUACACACCGCCCGUCACACCAUGAGAGUUGGGAAUACCCGAAGCCUGUGAGCUAACUUAUAGAGGCAGCAGUCGAAGGUAGAAUCAAUGAUUGGGGUGAAGUCGUAACAAGGUACC